rnacentral:lncRNA from 1 species
CAUUGCCAUUUUAUCCUUCAAUAUACAAAUCUUUAUGUUACCUAAUCCUAUUAUUUUGGUCAAAUAUUUAAUGAUUUUUUUCAAAUGGACCCAAAGCCUUGGUGAGCAUAUUGACAUUUCCUCUAGGUUGCAUUCAAUGUGUUACAUGUUUCCUCUCUCUUCCAUCCAAUGAAUUAUCUAAAUGAGGCUAUGAUGCUAUGAAUUGUUUUACUUUAAAUAUGAAC